rnacentral:rRNA from 1 species
AGUGAACGCUGGCGGUAGGCCUAACACGUGCAAGUCGAACGGCAGCACAGUAAGAGCUUGCUCUUACGGGUGGCGAGUGGCGGACGGGUGAGGAAUACAUCGGAAUCUACUUUUUCGUGGGGGAUAACGUAGGGAAACUUACGCUAAUACCGCAUACGACCUACGGGUGAAAGCAGGGGAUCUUCGGACCUUGCGCGAUUGAAUGAGCCGAUGUCGGAUUAGCUAGUUGGCGGGGUAAAGGCCCACCAAGGCGACGAUCCGUAGCUGGUCUGAGAGGAUGAUCAGCCACACUGGAACUGAGACACGGUCCAGACUCCUACGGGAGGCAGCAGUGGGGAAUAUUGGACAAUGGGCGCAAGCCUGAUCCAGCCAUACCGCGUGGGUGAAGAAGGCCUUCGGGUUGUAAAGCCCUUUUGUUGGGAAAGAAAAGCAGCAGGUUAAUACCCCGCUGUUCCGACGGUACCCAAAGAAUAAGCACCGGCUAACUUCGUG